rnacentral:rRNA from 1 species
UACGUAGGGGGCAAGCGUUGUCCGGAAUCAUUGGGCGUAAAGAGCGUGUAGGCGGCCCGGUAAGUCCGCUGUGAAAGUCCAGGGCUCAACCCUGGGAUGCCGGUGGAUACUGUCGGGCUCGAGUCCGGAAGAGGCGAGUGGAAUUCCUGGUGUAGCGGUGAAAUGCGCAGAUAUCAGGAGGAACACCGGUGGCGAAGGCGGGUCUCUGGGCCGAUACUGACGCUGAGGAGCGAAAGCGUGGGGAGCGAUCCGG